rnacentral:rRNA from 1 species
CACAGAUGUGGGUGAGCCCUUUAGAGUAUCAGAACACAGGUGUUGCAUGGCUCUCUUCCUCCCGUGUGGAGAGAGGUUGGGUAAAGUACGGCAUUGAGCGCAACCCCUGUCUUUUGUUGCCAGCAUUUUACCCCUGGGAACUCAAGGGAGACUGCCGGUGAUAAACCGGAGGAAGGUGGGGGUGACGUCAACUCAUCAUGGCCCUUACGGCCAGGGCUACACACGUGCUACAAUGGCGCGUACAGAGGGCUGCAAGCUAGCGAUAGUGAGCGAAUCCCAAAAAGCGCGUGGUAGUCCGGAUCGGAGUCUGCAAUUCGACUCCGGGAAGUCGGAAUCGUUAGUAAUCGCAACUCAGAAUGUUGCCGUGAAUACGUUCCCUGGCCUUGUACACAUCACCCGUCACACCAUGGGCAGUGGGUUGCUACGCAGAAAGUAAGUAUC